rnacentral:rRNA from 1 species
AUGGCUGGUAAAAUCAAUAUCGUUGCCCCUAACUUGUCCCCCAAUGCUUCUAGAUUCUGGAAAGGCAUUAAAACCACUAUCCAGGCAUUGAAGUUUGGCUAUAAAUGGAAAAUUGGGUCAGGCACUAAAGUCAAAUUCUGGGAGGACACUUGGUUUGGUACCUCUCCUCUGGCUGUACAAUUCUGGCCUAUUUACUCCAUUUGCAAUGACAAACUAAGAGUAUUAGCGAGGUUUGUGAUGAGCAUCAGCUCAAACUGA